rnacentral:lncRNA from 1 species
AUGUAAACAUAAUUUCUCAUACCUCAUUUCGUAGAUACCCCUAGACGUAGUUCCUCCUUUAUCCUUCUCUUUAAGUCACAAAGCCUUUGCCAACGUUCAUCUGAAUUAAGCCCUUCACUUUCAAGAGUGUUACGUGCAGAAGAAAAUUGCCGAGAAGGGGUGUAGGUAAGGUGAGAAUAAGGAGUCGUGGUGUUUUGCCUUGGGCGAUGAGAAGGAGAAUUGAAA